AGCUCCAAUAGCGUAUAUUAAAGUUGUUGCGGUUAAAAAGCUCGUAGUUGGAUCUGCGGACAUGGACACCGGUAGCCCACUGGGUAUCACUGGCUGUCCUGUCCUACUUUGCUGGUUUUUCCUUGGUGCUCUUAACUGAGUGCCUUGGUUGGCUAGCGCUUUUACUUUGAAAAAAUUAGAGUGCUUAAAGCAGGCUCUUGCCUGAAUAGUGGUGCAUGGAAUAAUGGAAUAGGACCUCGGUUCUAUUUUGUUGGUUUUCGGAGCUCGAGGUAAUGAUUAAGAGGGACAGACGGGGGCAUUCGUACUGCUGCGUUAGAGGUGAAAUUCUUGGAUCGCAGCAUGACGAACUACUGCGAAAGCAUUUGCCAAGAAUGUUUUCAUUA
rnacentral:rRNA from 1 species